GGGGACGAAAUGGUCUCGACGGAGUAAUGAAGGUUGAGAGUGCAAGUAACCAGCGGUAACACAUGGUUUGAUAGCGUUACAAAAUAUAGUUGCAAAUAACAACGAUAAUUUCGAAUACGCCCUAGCGGCAUAAUCGGGUGGCUUCCUAAAGCCAUCUAACCAAUUUAGGAUAAGUGGUUGGUCCCACCGAAAUAAACAAGACCACAAUGGAUACCCCAUUUGUAAUGGGUGGACUUCCGAGGCUACAUAGGAAGUGGGAAAAUUUGUGGAUACUUUGUUGAUUUAGAGAAAUUAACUAAACUUGUGAAUGACUUGAUAUUAGAUUUGUUUCGGACGCGGGUUCGACUCCCGCCGUCUCCACCA
rnacentral:tmRNA from 1 species